CCUACGGGAGGUAGCAGUGGGGAAUAUUGGACAAUGGGGGCAACCCUGAUCCAGCCAUGCCGCGUGUGUGAAGAAGGCCCUCGGGUUGUAAAGCACUUUCAGUGAGGAAGAACGCCUGGUGGUUAAUACCCAUCAGGAAAGACAUCACUCACAGAAGAAGCACCGGCUAACUCCGUGCCAGCAGCCGCGGUAAUACGGAGGGUGCGAGCGUUAAUCGGAAUUACUGGGCGUAAAGCGCGCGUAGGUGGCUUGAUAAGCCGGUUGUGAAAGCCCCGGGCUCAACCUGGGAACGGCAUCCGGAACUGUCAAGCUAGAGUGCAGGAGAGGAAGGUAGAAUUCCCGGUGUAGCGGUGAAAUGCGUAGAGAUCGGGAGGAAUACCAGUGGCGAAGGCGGCCUUCUGGACUGACACUGACACUGAGGUGCGAAAGCGUGGGUAGCAAACAGGAUUAGAUACCCUUGUAGUC
rnacentral:rRNA from 1 species